GAGGGCAGGCUGGUUCCUUAAAUAGGAUGAGGGUAGGGGCCGAUUGGUGGAUCGGGCCAGAGAGGUGGCUUAAGUAAGCUGCCCAGCCCUUUGGUGGUGCUGCGCGCAGGGAUCACACAUAGUACCUUGCUUUUGCUCCUUGAAACUCAGAAGUGGCAGUUGGAGACGUUUGUCCAGCUGCAAAUGCAAGCACUCUGGUGGAGCGGCCCAGGUCCCAGCCUAUCUCAGCAUCUCUUUUAAAAAAGGAUGCUCAUCACUGGAUUCUGGAGGCCCAUCUGGAUAAUCCAGGAUGAUCUCACCUCAGGAUCCUUAAUUUAAUAAUGUCUGCAAAGCCCCUUUCUCCAAAUAAGGCAAUAGUCACAGAUUCCAGGAUUUGACAUGGAUGUCUCUUGCUGGGCCAUUUUUCAGCCUACCACAGGCACAAAGGACUCUGAGAAACUCAGCAGAAGGAACAGAUAAAAGGAGAUCUGCUUCCGUCUGAAGCUAGGAUGCAGCUAGCUAGCACCACCAUCCCUCCCCGCCCCUCCAAACUCCCACUAGUCACCCCAGGCCUGCCCUUGAGGCCUUCCAAAGUAGGUCCCUCCCCAAGCCAGUUUGUGAGACCCUUCCAGUUGUAUUAAGCUUGUCUGCCCAGAAGAGAGAUGAGGGAACGGAGUCCUAGAGCAGCAGGGUGGCUCAGCACCCCAUUUGGGCGAAUCUGGCGCACAGGAAAAUCCUAGAACAAGGGAUAAAGGGGGAGGAAGGAUGAGGCAGGGAAGAGCUGGCUCGUGAUCCCAGACGGUGAGAGGGGGCGCCGCGCGCCGAGCGAGCCGGCUGUGCAUGCGCGCCCCCGCCCGGGGCUAUAAAAGCCUCGCCACCUGCUGCCGCUAAGUGCGUCCAGUUGCCAGAAGCCAAUUCACCUUCUCCAGUGGCAGCUCUUCUCGACAUGGACCCUGAGACCUGCCCCUGCCCUACUGGCCUGGCUCCACCCCGAGUUUUCCUGCGUUAACCCUUCCUGUGGCACUCCCCUCUCUAGGUGGCUCCUGCACCUGUGCUGGCUCCUGCAAAUGUGAGGGAUGCAAGUGCACCUCC